rnacentral:rRNA from 1 species
GGGUUGUGAGGUUAAGCGACUAAGCGUACACGGUGGAUGCCCUGGCAGUCAGAGGCGAUGAAGGACGUGCUAAUCUGCGAUAAGCGUCGGUAAGGUGAUAUGAACCGUUAUAACCGGCGAUUUCCGAAUGGGGAAACCCAGUGUGAUUCGUCACACUAUCAUUAACUGAAUCCAUAGGUUAAUGAGGCGAACCGGGGGAACUGAAACAUCUAAGUACCCCGAGGAAAAGAAAUCAACCGAGAUUCCCCCAGUAGCGGCGAGCGAACGGGGAGCAGCCCAGAGCCUGAAUCAGUGUGUGUGUUAGUGGAAGCGUCUGGAAAGGCGCGCGAUACAGGGUGACAGCCCCGUACACAAAAAUGCACAUGCUGUGAGCUCGAUGAGUAGGGCGGGACACGUGGUAUCCUGUCUGAAUAUGGGGGGACCAUCCUCCAAGGCUAAAUACUCCUGACUGACCGAUAGUGAACCAGUACCGUGAGGGAAAGGCGAAAAGAACCCCGGCGAGGGGAGUGAAAAAGAACCUGAAACCGUGUACGUACAAGCAGUGGGAGCACGCUUAGGCGUGUGACUGCGUACCUUUUGUAUAAUGGGUCAGCGACUUAUAUUCUGUAGCAAGGUUAACCGAAUAGGGGAGCCGAAGGGAAACCGAGUCUUAACUGGGCGUUAAGUUGCAGGGUAUAGACCCGAAACCCGGUGAUCUAGCCAUGGGCAGGUUGAAGGUUGGGUAACACUAACUGGAGGACCGAACCGACUAAUGUUGAAAAAUUAGCGGAUGACUUGUGGCUGGGGGUGAAAGGCCAAUCAAACCGGGAGAUAGCUGGUUCUCCCCGAAAGCUAUUUAGGUAGCGCCUCGUGAAUUCAUCUCCGGGGGUAGAGCACUGUUUCGGCAAGGGGGUCAUCCCGACUUACCAACCCGAUGCAAACUGCGAAUACCGGAGAAUGUUAUCACGGGAGACACACGGCGGGUGCUAACGUCCGUCGUGAAGAGGGAAACAACCCAGACCGCCAGCUAAGGUCCCAAAGUCAUGGUUAAGUGGGAAACGAUGUGGGAAGGCCCAGACAGCCAGGAUGUUGGCUUAGAAGCAGCCAUCAUUUAAAGAAAGCGUAAUAGCUCACUGGUCGAGUCGGCCUGCGCGGAAGAUGUAACGGGGCUAAACCAUGCACCGAAGCUGCGGCAGCGACGCUGAUGCGUUGUUGGGUAGGGGAGCGUUCUGUAAGCCUGCGAAGGUGUGCUGUGAGGCAUGCUGGAGGUAUCAGAAGUGCGAAUGCUGACAUAAGUAACGAUAAAGCGGGUGAAAAGCCCGCUCGCCGGAAGACCAAGGGUUCCUGUCCAACGUUAAUCGGGGCAGGGUGAGUCGACCCCUAAGGCGAGGCCGAAAGGCGUAGUCGAUGGGAAACAGGUUAAUAUUCCUGUACUUGGUGUUACUGCGAAGGGGGGACGGAGAAGGCUAUGUUGGCCGGGCGACGGUUGUCCCGGUUUAAGCGUGUAGGCUGGUUUUCCAGGCAAAUCCGGAAAAUCAAGGCUGAGGCGUGAUGACGAGGCACUACGGUGCUGAAGCAACAAAUGCCCUGCUUCCAGGAAAAGCCUCUAAGCAUCAGGUAACAUCAAAUCGUACCCCAAACCGACACAGGUGGUCAGGUAGAGAAUACCAAGGCGCUUGAGAGAACUCGGGUGAAGGAACUAGGCAAAAUGGUGCCGUAACUUCGGGAGAAGGCACGCUGAUAUGUAGGUGAAGCGACUUGCUCGUGGAGCUGAAAUCAGUCGAAGAUACCAGCUGGCUGCAACUGUUUAUUAAAAACACAGCACUGUGCAAACACGAAAGUGGACGUAUACGGUGUGACGCCUGCCCGGUGCCGGAAGGUUAAUUGAUGGGGUCAGCGCAAGCGAAGCUCUUGAUCGAAGCCCCGGUAAACGGCGGCCGUAACUAUAACGGUCCUAAGGUAGCGAAAUUCCUUGUCGGGUAAGUUCCGACCUGCACGAAUGGCGUAAUGAUGGCCAGGCUGUCUCCACCCGAGACUCAGUGAAAUUGAACUCGCUGUGAAGAUGCAGUGUACCCGCGGCAAGACGGAAAGACCCCGUGAACCUUUACUAUAGCUUGACACUGAACAUUGAGCCUUGAUGUGUAGGAUAGGUGGGAGGCUUUGAAGUGUGGACGCCAGUCUGCAUGGAGCCGACCUUGAAAUACCACCCUUUAAUGUUUGAUGUUCUAACGUUGACCCGUGAUCCGGGUUGCGGACAGUGUCUGGUGGGUAGUUUGACUGGGGCGGUCUCCUCCUAAAGAGUAACGGAGGAGCACGAAGGUUGGCUAAUCCUGGUCGGACAUCAGGAGGUUAGUGCAAUGGCAUAAGCCAGCUUGACUGCGAGCGUGACGGCGCGAGCAGGUGCGAAAGCAGGUCAUAGUGAUCCGGUGGUUCUGAAUGGAAGGGCCAUCGCUCAACGGAUAAAAGGUACUCCGGGGAUAACAGGCUGAUACCGCCCAAGAGUUCAUAUCGACGGCGGUGUUUGGCACCUCGAUGUCGGCUCAUCACAUCCUGGGGCUGAAGUAGGUCCCAAGGGUAUGGCUGUUCGCCAUUUAAAGUGGUACGCGAGCUGGGUUUAGAACGUCGUGAGACAGUUCGGUCCCUAUCUGCCGUGGGCGCUGGAGAACUGAGGGGGGCUGCUCCUAGUACGAGAGGACCGGAGUGGACGCAUCACUGGUGUUCGGGUUGUCAUGCCAAUGGCACUGCCCGGUAGCUAAAUGCGGAAGAGAUAAGUGCUGAAAGCAUCUAAGCACGAAACUUGCCCCGAGAUGAGUUCUCCCUGACUCCUUGAGAGUCCUGAAGGAACGUUGAAGACGACGACGUUGAUAGGCCGGGUGUGUAAGCGCAGCGAUGCGUUGAGCUAACCGGUACUAAUGAACCGUGAGGCUUAACCUUACAACGCCGAAGGUGUUU